rnacentral:rRNA from 1 species
CACGCAGGCGGUUUUUUUAAAGUCAGAUGUGAAAGGUACCGGCUCAACCGGUGACAUGCAUUUGAAACUGAAAGACUUGAGUAUUGGAGAGGCAAGUGGAAUUCCUAGUGUAGCGGUGAAAUGCGUAGAGAUUAGGAGGAACACCAGUGGCGAAGGCGGCUUGCUGGACAAAUACUGACGCUGAGGUGCGAAAGCGUGGGGAGCAAACA